GUUUGCUGAGCUAGUUAAACUGGCUCUUUCUGUCUUGUGCAUUUUCUUUGGCAACAGAGAAGUUCCUCUUUUAUAAAAACAAGCAGGCAGACUGUCUGAUUGGACAUGAGUUUGGAAAGGAUAUGACAUCAACCACAUCCCUCACUUUGUUCUGUGUGCCUGAAAUCUUUUUCCACUUCUUUUACUCAGCCAAUGAAGAGGUGUUCUGUUAAACUGCAAUGCCAAGCAGGCAAGAUGGUAUUUGAGCUUGCAAGAUCUCAAACUGUGAAGUGAAAUAACAGUAUUCAGGCGAGUUGCAAUGGAAGGAGCAAAUGCAGAUUCUCAUUCAUCCCAAGGAUCAGAAAGCCAGUCUCAUCAUGUACCUUUGCGACCGAAUCCAUUGAUGGGUGAUUUUGUUUCCGACUGGGCUCCUAUCCACGAUGCUUCCUUGCAUGGGCGACUACUUGCUCUGAAGAAACUCAUCAAUCAGGGAACCAGUGUGAAUAUUAUGACAGCAGAUUGUGUGUCUCCUCUCCAUGAAGCUUGCCUAGGGGGAAAUUCUGCUUGUGCCAGCGUUUUGUUGAAACAUGGGGCCCAUGUAAACACUGCUACAAUUGACUGGAACACACCUUUGUUCAACGCUUGCAUCAGUGGCAGUGCAGACUGUGUGAAUUUGUUACUGGAACAUGGAGCCAGCCCGCAUCCAAUGUGUGAUCUGGCAUCACCUGUCCAUGAAGCUGCUAAGAGGGGUCACACCAAAUGUGUAGAAUCCCUUGUAUCUCAUGGAGUCGAUAUUGAUCACAACAUAAAACACCUUGGUACUCCACUUUAUGUAGCUUGUGAGAACCAGCAAGUGGAAUGUGCAAAAAAAUUACUUGAAUCAGGGGCAAGUGCAAACACAGGGAAAGGUCUAGAGUCCCCUCUCCAUGUGGCUGCUCAAACCUCCAAUGCUGAUCUGGUGAAUUUGCUUCUUGACUUUGGAGCAAACACAAGGGCCAGGAAUGCUGAGGGGAAAAAACCAACAGAGCUGGUUUCACCAAGCAGCCCACUUGCACAGAUAUUUCUGCAGAGAGAAGGUGCCCAUUAAUCUUUGUUUUCUUCAAAACCAAAGUAUGUAAUGAAGCUGAAGCAGCCUUUGAAAGGACUUUCUCCCCUCUGUUUCGUUGUUAAAUCUGGCAGCGCCAAUGUUUGUCAUUAUGUGCUGAAAGAAAAUCCCCUGUAAAGCUCACCAUUUAGUCAUGGCUGCUGAUGUUGCAAGUUUGUUUUUGAUGUUAUAAAUUAACAAUGGGAGCAUACAUGGAGAUUGAGACACAUCCAAGUACAUCUCCGUGGGAUCCGGAUCUGAGAAGAAAAUGGAACAAGGUGUUUUUCUAAGACCUUUCUCUUUGAUGCAGUUAUGCCGCUUAUGCAUAUGGAGAUACUUGGGAUCCAAACAACAACAAAGAAUAAACCAACUUCAGUUGCCUGAUGAGCUGAAACGGUUUCUCUUGUAUAUUUAAAGGUUUUAUAUUUUCAAGUUCUUAUUAAAGUUUUAUUUCUUA